rfam:Schistosoma mansoni strain Puerto Rico chromosome 3, complete genome
AUCCAGCUGACGAGUCCCAAAUAGGACGAAGUGACGCGCUCCCUACAU